CCUACGGGUGACAGCAGUGAGGAAUAUUGGUCAAUGGCCGAGAGGCUGAACCAGCCAAGUCGCGUGAGGGAAGACGGCCCUACGGGUUGUAAACCUCUUUUGUCGGGGAGCAAAGCGAACCACGUGUGGUUCAUUGAGAGUACCCGAAGACAAAGCAUCGGCUCACUCCGUGCCAGCAGCCGCGGUAAUACGGAGGAUGCGAGCGUUAUCCGGAUUUAUUGGGGUUAAAGGGUGCGCAGGCGGAGGUGCAAGUCAGCGGUAAAAUUGCGGGGCUCAACCCCGUACUGCCGUUGAAACUGCAUCCAGUGAGUGCGCGAGAAGUAGGCGGAAUGCGGGGUGUAGCGGUGAAAUGCAUAGAUAUCACGCAGAACUCCGAUUGCGAAGGCAGCAUACCGGCGCGCAACUGACGCGCAUGCACGAAAGCGUGGGUAUCGAACAGGAGUAGAUACCCCAGUAGUC
rnacentral:rRNA from 1 species